rnacentral:RNase_P_RNA from 1 species
UCAACAAGAAUCUUGCUUCAGGGGUUCACACACUGAGUACUUUGUUACUUUAUAACCCCGGGAAGGUCUGAGGCAAAAUCGCUUACCCUCCAGCCGGGGGCCUUCUUAAUAAAGUUGGGCAGGAGAACCAGAAAUUGGUCCAGUUCUAAGAUUUUUGGGUCUGAGAUGCCUCUGGUUGAGACUACAAUCUUGGUUACUGUUGGAACCUCCUGUGAUUCGCAUUUUUAGUUCAAUUUGCAAGGUUCUAGCUUAUGCUAGUGUAACUCAAUUCAGACUAAUCUCUUGUUGA